rnacentral:rRNA from 1 species
AACUAACGCUAGCGGCGUGCCUAACACAUGCAAGUCGUACGAGAAAGUCGGCUUCGGCCGGCAAGUAAAGUGGCGCACGGGUGAGUAACGCGUGGAUAAUCUACCCUUAAGUUUGGAAUAACGUACCGAAAGGUGCGCUAAUACCGGAUAAUACUAAGUGACUACUGUUGCUUAGUCAAAGAAGGCUUCUGUUUACAUGCUUUUGCUUUGGGAUGAGUCCGCGUACCAUUAGCUAGUUGGUGGGGUAAUGGCCUACCAAGGCGAUGAUGGUUAGGUGGUCUGAGAGGACGAUCACCCAGACUGGGACUGAGACACGGCCCAGACUCCUACGGGUGGCAG